GACGAACGCUGGCGGCGUGCCUAAUACAUGCAAGUAGAACGCACAGUUUAUACCGUAGCUUGCUACACCAUAAACUGUGAGUUGCGAACGGGUGAGUAACGCGUAGGUAACCUGCCUGGUAGCGGGGGAUAACUAUUGGAAACGAUAGCUAAUACCGCAUAAUAUUGAUUAUUGCAUGAUAAUUGAUUGAAAGAUGCUAUUGCAUCACUACCAGAUGGACCUGCGUUGUAUUAGCUAGUAGGUGAGGUAACGGCUCACCUAGGCGACGAUACAUAGCCGACCUGAGAGGGUGAUCGGCCACACUGGGACUGAGACACGGCCCAGACUCCUACGGGAGGCAGCAGUAGGGAAUCUUCGGCAAUGGACGAAAGUCUGACCGAGCAACGCCGCGUGAGUGAAGAAGGUUUUCGGAUCGUAAAGCUCUGUUGUAAGAGAAGAACGGGUGUGAGAGUGGAAAGUUCACACUGUGACGGCAUCUUACCAGAAAGGGACGGCUAACUACAUG
rnacentral:rRNA from 1 species